rnacentral:lncRNA from 1 species
GAAAGACUGGUCUCUCUCAAAAGGAUAGUGAUACCAAAUUAAGUAUUACGUUCAUGGUGGAUCUUAGUUAACUCCCUGGCGCAAAUGAGGAGAAGAUGUUCAGGACAGGAAAAUAAAGCACCAAAGGAAUCAAAAUGCUACUCUAAGACGGCUUAAACUGCUGGUGGGAAAGCCAGGGUUUGAACCAUGCUCUGUUUUAUUCAGAAUUGGAAUGCUCUUUAUAUGAGCCACCUAUGGAAGUCCUCCUUAAAGGAAUCUACUUCUACUGGCCAUUUCGGGAUGUUGCUUGUUACCUGUUAGGUGUCUUCUGCUGCUGCUUACUGGACAUCAACACCUCUCACUGGAGACAGACAGUGGAGCAAUACUUUUAUUAAGGCACUUUUCUGCCAAUGAUAUUCUGACAUCAUGCAUGUGAUUUCUUGGGGUCAGUACACCUUGGAUGUCUUAUCACAGAGAGAUGAUCAGGACAGAUGAGGCCUGGACCACAGCCCUGGACCAUACACUCAGUUAACUCUUGGAUUUGCCUGAAAAACUCUAGUAGAUACAUAGUUUUUGCCAUAGACCAGGUCACCAGCUGGUUAGUGAAGUACCAGAAUCUCUCAACUAAUGGGCUGAGCAUAUCUCUAAAUCAUUCAAAGGAGUAAUCUUCAGAUGUCCAGAUACACAGGCAACUAUUUCUGACAACGGUGGCCAUUGGGGAGGAGCAGGCUCUGGCACUGGCUUGAGUUCCAGCUUUUGUACUGGUGAAAGGUGUUAAAGAAGAAGGCAGAAUCCACUCAGUGGAGUAGGAAAUGGGCUUCAUCUAAAUGAUGAAGUGAUGUGACAUAUGGGGGUGUACAUUCAGAAAAAUGUAGGUGCCAAUAAUCAGAAUUAAUACCGUGAAUAGGGAUGGAAUGGAAACCAAGGUAACUUGAUGUGGAGUUUCAUAAGCUGGGGGCAGAGGCAAUAAAAUAUUUCUUGAAUCAAGUUCAGCUUUGAUCCUGGGAAUUACGGAAUGACUCAGUGCGAAGAAAAAGGCGUGAGACGGGAGUCCUGUGAGCUUAAUCCCAACUAUUUUAGAAACAGACCUGCUGCCUAGAAACUCUCAAAUUUAGACAAAUGCUCACUGGUUCCUAAGAGUGUGUGGAGGCGUUCUGAGAGAUAAUAUCAAUCAUUCCUGCGAGGCACAGAUGUUGAAACUGAGAACAAAGAUGAUCAAGAGCACAUCGAAAGUUGCACAUCAUAGAGUAAUAACAGCUAAAGUGAAAUAACUUCUUACUGUGUGUAAUCCAAAACAUUAGAUCAAUUAGUCAUUUAUACUCAUCCUCUGAGGAUGCAGAUGAGACAAUUGAAUUAUGAAAAGGUAAAAAGGCUGUUUUAAUAAUGCAAGAUUGUAGGUGGCAGAAUUGGGAAAGGUAAAUUUAAUUUAAGGCAGGCAGUGAUGAGAACCCCAAGACAGACCUACAGAAUUUUCCUGCAAUAGUUUCUCUGAGCAUGCAAAUCCAUUUCCUAGUCCUCUUUCAUUGGGCUAACAAUAGCCCUUUGCCACAGUCUGGUUCUUGACUCCUUAGCGUCAUAUUCUGUUCUUCUAUGGAUAAUAACAAUAGCUAACAUGGAUUGGGUUCUUACUCUGUGGCCAACAUUGUUCUAAGUGCUGUAUAUCCUGGGGCAGAACCAGAGAACACUCCCUGUUCUCUCCUCAGUAUGGAGCUUCUUUCAGUUAGCCACACUCAUUAAGUGGCAUGUGUCACUUCUGGGCUGUGGCAGGGAAAAGCCCUUGCCAGCCCUCUUGCUUCUCCUUCCACUCUCCCUCUGCUGCAGUAAAGCAGAGGCCUCUGGUCCAGAUAGCCAAGCUAUAGGAGUCAAGCAGUCUGGAAUGCUGAGCGGCUGCAUGGACAUCAGUUGCCCCGGAGGUCUCCCCCAGCCCAUAAGUGACUUUGUAUAAAUAAGAAAUAAACCUUUA